rnacentral:rRNA from 1 species
UACGUAGGGGGCUAGCGUUGUCCGGAUUUAUUGGGCGUAAAGAGCGUGUAGGCGGCCUGGUAGGUCUGGUGUGAAAACUCGAGGCUUAACCUCGAGAUGUCAUCGGAAACCAUUUGGCUAGAGUCCGGAAGAGGAGAGUGGAAUUCCUGGUGUAGCGGUGAAAUGCGCAGAUAUCAGGAAGAACACCAAUGGCGAAAGCAGCUCUCUGGGACGGUACUGACGCUGAGACGCGAAAGCGUGGGGAGCGAACAGG